GGGCCGCUAGCAUAUUUGGUAGCGCACAUCCAUGGCAUGGAUGAGGGAGGGGUUCAAAUCCCCUGCGGUCCA
rnacentral:tRNA from 1 species